UGAGCUCAAAUUUAAAAUCUGGCGUCUUUCAGGCGUCCGAGUUGUAAUCUAUAGAGGCGUUUUCCGCGCCGGACCGCGUCCAAGUCUCUUGGAAUAGAGUAUCAAAGAGGGUGACAAUCCCGUACUUGACGCGACAACCGGUGCUCUGUGAUACGUUCUCAAUGAGUCGAGUUGUUUGGGAAUGCAGCUCUAAAUGGGUGGUAAAUUCCAUCUAAGGCUAAAUAUUGGCGAGAGACCGAUAGCGAACAAGUACCGUGAGGGAAAGAUGAAAAGCACUUUGGAAAGAGAGUUAAACAGCACGUGAAAUUGUUAAAAGGGAAACGAUUGAAGUCAGUCGUGUGAAAGGUAUUCAGCCGUCUCUGGCGGUGUAUUUGCCUUUCACGGGUCAACAUCAGUUUGAUCCGGUAGAAAAAGGCGGGAGGAAGGUGGCACCCUCGGGUGUGUUAUAGCCUCCUGUCAUAUGUGCCGGACCAGACUGAGGAACGCAGCUUGCCGCAAGGCCGGGGUUCGCCCACGUACAAGCUUAGGAUGUUGACAUAAUGGCUUUAAACGACCCGUCUUGAAACAC
rnacentral:rRNA from 1 species